rnacentral:rRNA from 1 species
CCUACGGGUGGCAGCAGUAGGGAAUCUUCCACAAUGGACGAAAGUCUGAUGGAGCAACACCGCGUGAGUGAAGAAGGGUUUCGGCUCGUAAAGCUCUGUUGGUCGUGAAGAAAGAUAGAGGUAGUAACUGGCCUUUAUUGGACGGGAAGUACUUAGAACGUCACGGCUAACUACGUGCCAGAAGCCGCGGUAAUACGUAGGUGGCAAGCGUUGUCCGGAUUUGUUGGGCGUAAAGCGAGUGCCGGCGGUUCAAUAAGUCUGAUGUGAAAGCCUUCGGCUCAACCGGAGAGUUGCAUCAGAAACUGUUGAACUUGAGUGGAGAAGAGGAGAGUGGAACGCCAGGUGUAGCGGUGGAAUGCGUAGAUAUAUGGAAGAACACCAGUGGCGAAGGCGGCACUCUGGUCUGAAACUGACGCUGAGGCUCGAAAGCAUGGGUAGCGAACAGGAUUAGAUACCCCUGUAGUC